AUUGAACGCUGGCGGCAGGCCUAACACAUGCAAGUCGAACGAGUGGCGGACGGGUGAGUAAUGUCUGGGAAACUGCCUGAUGGAGGGGGAUACAUAAUGGAAAAGGUAGCUAAUACAGCAUACCAUAGGAUAUGCCCAUAUGGGAUUAGAUAGUAGGUGGGGUAAAGGCUCACCUAGGAGACGAUCCCUAGCUGGUCUGAGAGGAUGACCAGCCACACUGGAACUGAGACACGGUCCAGAUCCCGACGGGAGGCAGCAGGGGGGAAGAUUGCACAAUGGGGGCAAGCCUGAUGCAGCCAUGCCGCGUGUAUGAAGAAGGCCUUCGGGUUGUAAAGUACUUUCAGCGGGGAGGCGUUACCCGCAGAAGAAGCACCGGCUAACUCCGUGCCAGCAGCCGCGGUAAUAC
rnacentral:rRNA from 1 species